AAGAUUGUCAACAUCCCCAAGAAGGCCCUGAUCCUUAUUGAUUCCUUUGGGAAAGAGGACUAUUAUUCAAGAAAAGUUCUCCACAACUGGAGGAACUACCUUAAAAGGAUGGAGAGAAGGGGCUGAGGCAUGGCAGGUGGAGACUGUGCACCACAAUAAACAGCAGGAUGCCAGUAGCUGCAGAGUUUUGGUUAUGAAGUUUGCAGAAAACUUCAUCACUGAGGAAUCCACAGAGGUCGUCACCACAGCGGAGGCUGUGCAUGAAUACAGGAAGCAGAUCGCCUGUAGCUGCUACAAAAUCCGGGUCAGUGUAAAAAUGCUUGGAUAAUCAGUUGCCACAAUGUGGUAAUUACAAU